CCUGGCAACCGUGGAAACAUGAGAAGCUGGGUUAUACGCUCUUUUACGAGGGCAACAAUGUUGUCAUAAAAUACAACCAAGACACCUAAUGUGUGAAUUGGUGGUGCACAUAAUAAGUGAAAGAGCUAUGCUCU
rnacentral:sRNA from 12 species